CUCCACUCUAACCACUAGGCUACCCUGCCGCCCCUCCACUCUAACCACUAGGCUACCCUGCCACCUCUACACUCUAACCACUAGGCUACCCUGCCGCCCCUCCACUCUAACCACUAGGCUACCCUGCCGCCCCUCCACUCUAACCACUAGGCUACCCUGCCGCCUCUACACUCUAACCACUAGGCUACCCUGCCGCCCCUCCACUCUAACCACUAGGCUACCCUGCCGCCCCUCCACUCUAACCACUAGACUACCCUGCCGCCUCUACACUCUAACCACUAGGCUACCCUGCCG
ensembl:lncRNA